CGCACACAAGUCUGUUGGAAUACAGCGGCAUAGUGGUGAGACCCCCGUAUAUGGUGCGGACGCCCAGCGCUUUGUGAUACAUUUUCGAAGAGUCGAGUUGUUUGGGAAUGCAGCUCAAAUUGGGUGGUAAAUUCCAUCUAAAGCUAAAUAUUGGCGAGAGACCGAUAGCGAACAAGUACCGUGAGGGAAAGAUGAAAAGCACUUUGGAAAGAGAGUUAACAGUACGUGAAAUUGUUGGAAGGGAAACGCUUGAAGUCAGACUUGCUUGCCGAGCAAUCGGUUUGCAGGCCAGCAUCAGUUUUCCGGGAUGGAUAAUGGUAGAGAGAAGGUAGCAGUUUCGGCUGUGUUAUAGCUCUCUGCUGGAUACAUCUUGGGGGACUGAGGAACGCAGUGUGCCUUUUGGCGGGGGUUUCGACCUCUUCACACUUAGGAUGCUGGUGGAAUGGCUUUAAACGACCCGUCUU
rnacentral:rRNA from 1 species